rnacentral:rRNA from 1 species
UACGUAGGGACCAAGCGUUGUUCGGAUUUACUGGGCGUAAAGGGCGCGUAGGCGGCUUAACAAGUCACUUGUGAAAUCUCCGGGCUUAACUCGGAACUGCCAAGUGAAACUGUCAAGCUAGAGUGCAGAAGGGGCAAUCGGAAUUCUUGGUGUAGCGGUGAAAUGCGUAGAUAUCAAGAGGAACACCUGAGGCGAAGGCGGGUUGCUAGGCUGACACUGACGCUGAGGCGCGAAGGCUAGGGGAGCAAACAGG